CAAUUCUACUUCAAUGAGUCACUUAAAUCAUACUCAAAUUGUCCUCACAAAUGAGUACUGGGUGAGUGACAUAUUAGUGAUGUUUGACAUUUGCUUAAAUGUCCCUAAUUUAUUAAUUUUGUGGUUUCAUAAUAGUAUAGCAGUAUAUUUUACAAACAAUUAAGUCAAGGUAUUCAAUAAAGGAUAUUCUAUACGUGAACGAUAUAUAAAUUAUAAUUAUUUUUUUAAAAAUUAGUUCUGUUACAUACAUACAUAUCCUGUAAGAUGGAAGACGAUUUUUGGGAAUUUUUCAAUUAUGUUGAAGAUGUUGAUGGUUUUUUACCUGUACCUAGAAUUUUAUUGAGAGAUAAUUCUAAUACUUUUGAAAGGUACACUAACAGUGAAUUGAUACAACGUAUUAGAUUCUCAAGAGAUACUAUAGAAACUACAGUACUUCCAAUGGUUUAUCAUAACAUUAGAGAUGGUGAUAAUCGUGGACUACCAGUUCCCCUGCAUUAAAGUUGUAUGUGACAUUGCGGUUUUUUGCAACAGGGUCUUAUCAGCAAGUUUAUGCUGAUGUAGCCACAAUCAGUCAGUCCUCGGUCUGCAGAAUUGUCCGAGAAAUUAGCGAGGAACUUGCAAGAAGUUUACCAAGACUAAUUAAAUUUCCAGCCCACACGGAAAUAUUGAAACGACAAUUUUUUGAAAUUGCGAGGUUUCCUAGAUAAUUAAUUAGACUUUAAUGUGAUCUUGAUUAUUUAUUAUUUAAAUGUAACUUAUUAUGUACCUAUAUAUUUUCAACAUUCAAAUUCAAAAUAAAGAAAAAUGUGACAUUAGGUUUUCAUUGAUGUCAUUAUAUUUUUGGUAAUAUUUGAGUAGCCAACUGUUCCCUUAUCUAGUAAUUUGUGGUUUGAUGCACACUUAAGUUAGUCACUCAUUUAGACACAUUUCUGAAUAUCAGAAUUGAGAAUGAGAUGAGGGCACCCUAAGUU